AUGGAGAAAAAGUAUUCAGUUUCCUCAGAUAUCAGUUAUCUGACCAUAUUAUCAUUGGUUGAGUUGGAUGGCUAUGGCAUGGAUGCAUUUCUGACUUAUGUAAAGAAAGAGGGAAAGGGGCUGGAGGGUGUGGAGGCCCUGGAUAGUGAGGAGGCAUUAGAGUCAAUGCUUGACUUAUUUGUUGAUAAGAAGGUACUGAACAUCAGUGUCAGAAAAGCUACUGAUCCAAGCCCAGCAGAUGAGGAACAGAUCCCCAUUGAUCAUGUUGGUGAACCUGUUGUUUACAGAGUUUCACAAGAAGGUGUUUUGUACCCUGCCUCUAGUGCUAGUUUGCCAGCUUUAACCCCUGAUGAGCCCUACAUGAACACACAGCAAAGCAACAAUUUGAACAAGGGGAAAACAGUCAUGGAAGAAGAAGAUGCAGAAGAAGAAGCAGAUGAAGAAGAAGAAGAUGUACCAGAGGAAGAAGAUGAAGUUGAAGAUGACAAAUCAUCUUCAGAUUUUGAGUUCUUUAGGGGUGAUUACAGAGGGGAGAAGAUUUCUUACAAAGCUUGGUGUAGGGGUGAAGAUGAGGCUGGCACUGAUACUGCAGAGCACUUUUGUGCAGCUAACUUAGAACCUUCUGAGUUUUGGGAGGAAGAACCAAUUGUUUCUGAAGAUGAAGAAGUAGAGGAUCAUGCUGCUGUAACUACAAAAGCAGCCAAAAAGCUUAAGCCGGUUAGAAAACCUGGCCCAACUAGCAAGUCUCACAGUGAGCCUGAGCACAUCAACUUUGAAGAUUAUGUCCCUGAAGCUGAUGAGUACUGUUUUCCAGGUGACUUAGGCAUAAGUGAUGAAGAGGAUGCACCAAGGCUGCCAUCUGGAAGGAAGAGUAGGAAGAAGCAGAAGAAGGAGAGGAGAUCGUAUGAUCCAAAAAGGCCUGAUGCACAUGAGCAGUUUUCAAUGCAUUUGUGCUUUGAAAAUGUAGUUGAGUUCAGAGAAGCACUUAGAAAUUUUCAUGUGAGGACUCUUAGGAAUUUUGAGUAUCACAGAAAUGAACCAACUAGGGUUAUUUCUUGGUGCUCUGAUAGAAAACAUGGUUGUGAGUUUUACAUAGUUGCCUCCAAGAUAGCUCGUGAGGCAACUUUCAGUAUCAAGAAGAUGAACCUAGAUCACACUUGUGGAGCAAGUGGGGAGAAAACAAAGGUGAUAGUCAGUUGGGUUGCUAAGGUUUGUGAGGAUACAGUCAGAUCCAACCCUGGAGCUGGUGUUGACAUAAUUAUCUCAUACACAAAGAAGAAGUUUGGUGUGCAUGUGCCUAAAAGCUUGGCAUAUAGGGCAAGGAAGCAAGCAGUUGAGGUUGUGCAAGGAGAUCACAAACUCCAGUAUCACAGAAUAAGGGACUACCUGCAGUGCGUGCUAGAUACUAACCCUGGCAGUAGGUGCAUAGUAACAACACAUGAGAACCCACUUAACCCAGCUCCUACCCCAAGGUUUCACUAUAUGUUUUACUACUUGUUUGCAUGCAAGGAGGGUUUUCUGAAUGGAUGCAUGCCAUUUAUAGGUAAGUAUUCAAAAAUUUAUAUGUUUUUUUAA
rnacentral:rRNA from 1 species